GAUGAUCGCUAGCGGCAGGCCUAACACAUGCAAGUCGAGGGGCAGCACAGAAACAGCUAUGUUUUGGUGGCGACCGGCGGACGGGUGCGUAACGCGUAUGCAACCUACCUUUAACAGGGGGAUAACGGAGCGAAAUUUCCACUAAUACCCCAUAACAUCGAUCAAGGCAUCUUGAUUGGUUGAACACUCCGGUGGUUAAAGAUGGGCAUGCGUUGAAUUCGGUAGUUGGUGAGGUAAUGGCUUACCAAGCCUACGAUACAUAGGGGGACUGAGAGGUUAGCCCCCCACACUGGUACUGAGACACGGACCAGACUCCUACGGGAGGCAGCAGUGAGGAAUAUUGGUCAAUGGGGGCAACCCUGAACCAGCCAUGCCGCGUGCAGGAAGACGGCUCUAUGAGUUGUAAACUGCUUUUAAACAGGGAUAAAGCACAGUAUGUAUACUGUGUUGAAGGUACUGUAAGAAUAAGCACCGGCUAACUCCGUGCCAGCCGCCGCGGUAA
rnacentral:rRNA from 1 species